rnacentral:rRNA from 1 species
UCCGCAGGCGGGCUAUUAAGUCAGGGGUGAAAUGGUACGGCUCAACCGUAGCACUGCCCUUGAUACUGGUUGCCUUGAGUCAUAGUGAAGUGGCCGGAAUAUGUAGUGUAGCGGUGAAAUGCAUAGAUAUUACAUAGAACACCGAUUGCGAAGGCAGGUCACUAACUAUCGACUGACGCUGAUGGACGAAAGCGUGGGGAGCGAACAGGAUUAGAUACCCUGGUAGUCC